rnacentral:lncRNA from 1 species
UAGAAGAACCUUGUCUGAUCUUUGUACUAGAUGCCAUCCCCAGUUCUCUGACUCCGAAAGAACUCUCACUGAUUAGGAUUCAGUAUGGAGUUCAUCCGGAGUACGAGCUGGAGCUCUCCGGGCCAACUGGCCGGGCUAGCGCUCCUCCCCCUAGCUGCUUCUGUUUAUAUCAAGAAGCUUUCCACGUCGGGCUUUAACUUUCGCUCCCAUCUUUUGUCAUCGCUCUCUUCCACUUUUUAAAUAUUUUUUUAGUUUCUGUAGUGCUGAACUCCUUUAGAUUUUUGAUAGGAUUUCUUUCCCUCUGUUGCC